GACGUAGGGCGCGAGCGUUGUCCGGAUUUAUUGGGCGUAAAGGGCGCGUAGGCGGCCACUGCAAGUCAGUUGUGAAAUCUCCGGGCUUAACCCGGAAAGGUCAACUGAUACUGCAGGGCUAGAGUGCAGAAGGGGCAACUGGAAUUCUCGGUGUAGCGGUGAAAUGCGUAGAUAUCGAGAGGAACACCUGCGGCGAAGGCGGGUUGCUGGGCUGACACUGACGCUGAGGCGCGAAAGCCAGGGGAGCGAACGGG
rnacentral:rRNA from 1 species